rnacentral:lncRNA from 1 species
GGCCCUGAGAGGACAAACCUCUGAAAAGUGAUGUCACCCGUGAACCUAUAAGCCAAGAACAAGAGUGAUAAUAAUGCAAAUGGUGAUGAUGACAGUUUCCAUUGUGAGCCACCUACUGGGUGCCAGUUCACAUGGAUCCUGAAGUCACAAGAUUUUCUGCUAAAGCUGCACUUGAAAUCUUUAGUCCUAAUAAAAUUUGGAGUCGGUGAGGUGAAAUUCUCAGUGGAGAGAGAGACCUGGUUAUUUUGCUGAUCAUGCAGGUGCUGUUGCUGUGUUGACUUUCCUGCUGAGUACAAGAAUAAAAGUGUUACAAGACCCUGGCUGAAACCCAUGGUUGUGAAAUCAGAAUACAGGACAUAAUGGAGCCAAAGUCAUG